rnacentral:rRNA from 1 species
AUUGAACGCUGGCGGCAGGCCUAACACAUGCAAGUCGAACGAGUGGCGGACGGGUGUGUAAUGGCUGGGAAACUGCCCGAUGGAGGGGGAUAACUACUGGAAACGGUAGCUAAUACCGCAUACCAUCGGAUGUGCCCAGAUGGGAUUAGCUAGUAGGUGGGGUAACGGCUCACUUAGGCGACGAUCCCGAGCUGGUCUGAGUGGUUGACCAGCCACACUGGACCUGAGACACGGGCCAGACUCCUACGGGAGGCAGCAGUGGGGAAUAUUGCACAAUGGGCGCAAGCCUGAUGCAGCCAUGCCGCGUGUAUGAAGAAGGCCUUCGGGUUGUAAAGUACUUUCAGCGAGGAGGCGUUACUCGCAGAAGAAGCACCGGCUAACUCCGUGCCAGCAGCCGCGGUAAUAC